UGGGGAAUUUUGCACAAUGGGGGAAACCCUGAUGCAGCGACGCUGCGUGAUUUAGAAGGCCUUCGGGUUGUAAAAAUCUUUGUUACGGGAUGAAAAUGACAGUACCGUAAGAAUAAGGUCCGGCUAAAUACGUGCCAGCAGCCGCGGUAAUACGUAGGGACCGAGCGUUGUCCGGAAUCAUGGGGCGUAAAGGGUACGUAGGCGGCCUAGUAAGUUAGAAGUGAAAUAAUAUAGCUCAACUAUAUAAAGCUUUUAAAACUGCUAGGCUUGAGAGAUGGAAGGGAAAGUGGUAUUCCUCGUGUAGCGGUGACAUGCGCAGAUAUUAUGAAGACUACCGGUGGCGAAGGCGACUUUCUGGUCAUCUUCUGCCGCUGAGGUACGAAAGCGUGGGUCGCAAACAGG
rnacentral:rRNA from 1 species